rnacentral:snoRNA from 1 species
AUCUUUUUGUGGUUCUUAGUGUGAUGACUGGGUUCUCACACCACUGUGUGAGGUGUGCUGCCCUCAAACCCAUUACAGUAUCAGCAAAUGAUCUGCCCAAUU